GUGAAGCGCAAAGCAGUGUGGGGCAUUAAAACGAUUUCUCCUGUAGACUUGGUGGAGUUAAGACGUGUGUGCGCCGAGCAGUGUGUCUGGCUGGUGCAGUCUCGUCACCAUUACCGUUGUAAGUGGCAGUGUGUGCAUCACGUGAUAAGGUCUGGUCAUGGCGCCCACCCACUAAACCUGGGCAACAGUGUCUCCUGACCAUCCCCUAAACACGGGCAAACAGUCUCGGGCGUCAGUCAGAAGUUGGAACACGUCUCACCACAAGUCUGGCACCGGCUUCCCUACAUCGGCGCACAACCAACUUGGUGGAGCCACGUCUGUUUCACACGACCGAACUCGUCAGCCACAGCGGCGCUCCAGUCCGACCUGUACCCUCCCAAGCCUCUUUGAAGCCCCGGCAUCAUUAUCCUCCUCCUCCUCCUGUGUCCAUGUGAAAGCAGUGUAUCUCCAGGUGGUGCUUCUUCAGGAGAGGACGCAGACCCCGGAGGCGUGCGGUCCGGCACAGGCACAGGCAGGGGCAGGGGCUGGGCUGUUUCAACUCGUUCACUGGAGGCGUAGGCUGUCAGGAAUUGUUCAGUGUUGGUGUUAAAGGUAAUGUAACGACUAACGAGGCUGACUGAACCAGAACUCAAGGUUUCUAAUCAGAUUAGAAUGAAGAGUACCUUUUUUUUUUUUUUUUUUUUUUUGUUUAAAGGUUGAGAUUGCAAAUUGUUCCGUGGUGGUGGGUAAAAUCGAAUGCACUGAACAUUUAACAAGACGCACACCACACACCACACGUGUCCUACAUUGAGGACAAGGUUGUUCAUGACACACCACACACCACCACGUCACCUACAUUUGAGGACAAGGUUAUUCAUGAUUAAAGUGUAAAGCUAAGAUGCAAUUUGUUACAGGUCCUGCCAGUACUGAAGGGAAAACCAAACCAGCGUGUCCUGAAACCCAACCCUUCGUGCACGGGAAGACGCAAACUGUUUCGCUGCACCUUUCAAUGGAGGAAUUGGACCCUGCCUCGCACCAGCCCUGAUGUGACAACACGCAGCCCCAUCCAGGGAGGGUGGACACUGCCUCGCUGCCCCUUCCCUGACAACACCCAGUGCCAUCCAGGGAGGGAGGACACACUGCAUCGCACCAGCUAACCUGACAACACGGAGCGUCAUCCAGGGAGGGAGGACACCGCCUUGCUUCAUGUAACCUGACCUAACCAAUACAUGUUGCCAGUCACUCUGAUGUUAUUCCUUCAAUGCUUUGUGAUGGACCCACACAACUGGUGUUACUACUUCAGAAUAAAUUAUUAAUAAAUUCGUACUGAUUUUGAUGGCCUACCCUGGAGCUUGACCUGACCUCAUCAAAUACGAAGCUUAACCUAACCUCACUUCACAUAGUGUAUCUAAUUUAACCUAACCCUAUUAAUCCCCACAAAGUGUAUAAAAAAAAACUGCUUUUCCAAAUAAAAACUACAAUCCUUAA